GGGGACGUAGCUUAGUGGUAAAGCUCACAAGAAGUAUUGGAAAGCGGUUGCGUCGUCGCCUGGGGAGCCCGGGCUGAGACGCUCGACACUUGGCAGCAAUGCAAACAAGUGUCGAGCUGCGCCGUGGACCAUUCAGAUUGUGGAUCGCUGGUUUAAAUCCAGCCGCCUCCA
rnacentral:tRNA from 1 species